CAUUCCAUGGCCAAACUGGUUAAGGCAUUGCCGAUGAGGCGAAGAUGCGGGUUCGAGUCCCGCUGGAACUG
rnacentral:tRNA from 1 species